rnacentral:tRNA from 1 species
UGCAUCUGCCGGGAAUCGAACCCGGGCCGCCCGCGUGGCAGGCGAGCAUUCUAUCACUGAACCACC